rnacentral:rRNA from 1 species
UACGUAGGGUGCUAGCGUUGCUCGGAAUUACUGGGCGUAAAGGGUGCGUAGGCGGACCUGCAAGUCGGGGGUGAAAGCCCGAGGCUCAACCUCGGAACUGCCUUCGAUACUGCGGGUCUCGAGUCCGGGAGAGGUGAGUGGAAUUCCUAGUGUAGAGGUGAAAUUCGUAGAUAUUAGGAAGAACACCAGUGGCGAAGGCGGCUCACUGGCUCGGUACUGACGCUGAGGCACGAAAGCGUGGGGAGCAAACAGG